rnacentral:tRNA from 1 species
ACUUUUUUAGUAUAAUAUAUUAUUUUUGACUUCCAAUCAAAAGAUCUUAAAAAAUAAAAAAUAAGAAAAAGUA